AGGACGAACGCUGGCGGCGUGCUUAACACAUGCAAGUCGAGCGGAAAGGCCCUUCGGGGUACUCGAGCGGCGAACGGGUGAGUAACACGUGAGUAAUCUGCCCCUAGCUCUGGGAUAGCUCCGGGAAAACCGGGAUUAAUACCAGAUACGACCACUUUAGACAUCUGUUGUGGUGGAAAGAAUUUUGGCUAGGGAUGAGCUCGCGGCCUAUCAGCUUGUUGGUGAGGUAACGGCUCACCAAGGCGACGACGGGUAGCCGGCCUGAGAGGGCGACCGGCCACACUGGGACUGAGACACGGCCCAGACUCCUACGGGAGGCAGCAGUGGGGAAUAUUGCGCAAUGGGCGAAAGCCUGACGCAGCGACGCCGCGUGGGGAUGAAGGCCUUCGGGUUGUAACCCUUUCAGCAGGGACGAAGCGAAAGUGACGGUACCUGCAGAAGAAGCGCCGGCUAACUACGUGCCAGCAGCCGC
rnacentral:rRNA from 1 species